rnacentral:rRNA from 1 species
UACGUAGGGUGCAAGCGUUAAUCGGAAUUGACUGGGCGUAAAGCGUGCGCAGGCGGUGAUGUAAGACAGAUGUGAAAUCCCCGGGCUCAACUUGGGAACUGGCAUUUGUGACUGCAUCGCUGGAGUGCGGCAGAGGGGGAUGGAAUUCCGCGUGUAGCAGUGAAAUGCGUAGAUAUGCGGAGGAACACCGAUGGCGAAGGCAAUCCCCUGGGCCU